CAACCACGACUCUGCAGACCGGCGGAUGAGAGUUGAGUGCUUGUCCACACAAAAAGUCAGUGUCUAAGUGUCACGUAUUAUAAAGUCGUAGAUUCGUGUUGAGGUGCUCCUACCCAAGGUGUCUCGCCCCCGCCCCACCCAUUCUUUCCUCAUCUUAGGUCCUAUUGUGCUGCGUGUGAGUCCCACAUUCUCCAUCUUCCACCUUUUUUAGAGUUUCCUGUUGGGUUCCUCGCGGAAUCCCUCUUUAUUGUCGCGUUCACGGCGCGAAGUAGCCUUGGUCGUCUGGGCCCCCUUGCCCCGUCCGUUUCUGUCGCUCACAUACGUGGGCUUCCUCUUCCACGCCACCGCCACCCCAUUUCUUUCUUGCCCCAUUCACUCUUCGCGUUCUCGCUGUGUGCGACGCUGUCCGGUGUACCCAUUCUUUGCGAGGCGCGUGCAUAUAUAUAUAUAUAUAUUUCUUCUUCUCCCGCUGCCGCUGCUUCUCCUCUUCACCGUCCCUUCUCUCCUCUCACCCCCUCUCGCUCUCCUUUGUUCGUCUGUGUUGUUUCUUUCUUCACCUCUAUUGUUGCUCUCGAGAAAUUUCGGACUCGAAUGUAUAGUGUCUCUGCUUGAUGUACGAUAUCCUGUUCUGCCGCGCGCCCCCUUUUCCAAGUCUGCACACCUGCGUGCGCUGGUUCUGGAACUGUCCUGUGCAGGGCUCCCUCCCUCUCUCUUUCUCUCUCCACUUCGGUUCUCGCCUGCUUCCGGUGUCGUAUCUGGCGGCUGUUGUGCCGGUGGCGGCCGCUUCGUCCGUCCUGUGUGCUCCUUUCUUCUGGGCUCGUUUCUUUGUUGUUCUUUGUAGGCUCUGCCAACACACGGCACCGCUCACAAGGAGGACAGCCCCCUCACACACGCGCGGUUGUGGAUCUCCUUGCAUGCUCUCGCUGUGGUGGCGCAGCGUUGUCAUAGUCGCACCCUCCCUCCCUCCGCCCUUGUCUCGUUGUGUCUAAGGGACAGACUGUCCUUCCUACGCUUGCAUACAUUAUUCGAUUUAGAGUACCGUACACCUGCCAGGUGGCGCAGUUCUCACGACCCCUUUGGCGUGCAACUCUGCCUGCUACCACAGCGCUCUGUCGGCGUCUCACGCGUAGAAAAGUAUCGUCGUAACUGCCCCCUCGCUGCCUGCUCACUUUCUCCCUCCUUUAUUUGUGUGCUGAAGACAAGUGGCGCACGGACGUUGGGCGAUCACUCGCUAUCUGUACUAAGUAGCACUUCGAGGCUUGCUGGCGGUUGCGCUACUGUGAUAUCGGGCUUGCACGACACCGAACCUGGCCCCGCUGCAAAGGCCCUCGCAGCGACAAGGGCAAGGCGCUGCUCCUUACCUAUAGCAGAGCCACACGCACGGCAGCGCAAGUGAAGAGACUGGUGCGUGCACGGCGUCACAAUGUACGAAGAAGCAGGCUAUGCCGUUGUACAGCGGUACAGCCGAUGGCAGAAGAAGAAGGUGCGCACCAUCAUCGUCAACGCCCAUGCCAAGAUCGCGUCGCAGAAGUCCAUUGCUGGUGCCAUCGCUCUUGCAAAGCCGUUUGAUCGCAUCGAGUUGACCGGUGGGGAGUACCAUGAGUCCGUGGCUGUGCAGAUGCCGCUGGAACUGGUCGCCUCGGAGGGCGAGGAUCCGCACAUCUUCUCUCGUUUAUCCACCAUCACGAUCGCAACAAGUGGCAUCGAGGUCUACAUGGAGCGCAUUAUCGUCUCCUCUCGCAGUGGCAGCAAGCUCAACGCUGCCGUUGUCGCCGUCGCAGGCAACCCGAUUCUCUUCCGCUGCCACUGCAGCUCCCUGGUCAUCGGCGGCAACGCCGUAGCCCACGUCGACGAGUGCACUGUCAAGGAAAGUAGCAGCGGCGUCGGCAUCGUUGUGCACGAGAGUGGCGGCGGUAUCAUCAAAUCCUCCACGAUCCGCAAUCACCGCAACGUGUGUUUCGACAUUGACACGCGGGGCGGGCUAGCGGUGACAGAGUGCACGAUCGACAAUAGCACCGGUGGCGAUGCCAUGAGCAUCUCCGGCGCCGUCAGCUCCAUCAGUCGUGACUCCGGCUCCUCGUCCACGUCGUGCAGCCAGGUCGAGGUGACGCACUGCCACUUUUCCAUCUCCGACGACCCCAGCAGCGGUGCGUCUGGCGGGGUUUCCAUGAGCUCUGUAGGGAGUGCCUGUGGCAUCAUCCUCACCCAAGGAGCCGCGCCGACCAUCGCCUCGAACGAGUUCAUUGAGGGCGAGAUCGGCGUGCUGAUGGAAGGCCCUGGCACGGCGCAGCUCAAAGGGAACGUGAUCCGCUGCCAACGGCGCUGCGGCAUCUUGGCCCUUGUGGAGGAGAGCUUUGGCUACGCCCCCAACCAUCAGACGCUGCGUAUCACGGGUGAAAACGUCAUAGACCGCUGCCGCGUCGGCAUCGACGCACAGUGCGCCAUGAGCCGUGCCUCGUAUAUCCAGCAGCAGAAUUCCGCCACCGCCAUGACAGGAGCCGGAUCUGGCGUUGGUGCCCCCGCCGAAGCCGGCCUUAACGUCAGCGCCAUCGGCGGCAGCAUGAGCGGGGCGGAUCGUUUCUUGUCUGACGAACUGCCAAACCCGAAGCGGGCCUUUGCGUGGACACCGGUCCAAGGCAGCACAUCGUCGCCAUCCUCGUGUGACGCGGCCUGCUUCCUACCCUCCACCUCGCCGACGACCCCGCUUGUAUGCAUUGAGAGCAAGUGGUGCUCGCUGGACCAGCUCAGGGCCAAUCUCCAGCAGCUCGUGACCAUGACACUGCAGGCCAACCCCACAUGCCUGCAGCCGGCUUUCGAGAUCGGCACCAGCACCGCCUCGAUCGUGAAUGAGGGGCUCGACGCCACCUCUGCGAACCCGUUCGCCGGCAUCUUGAACGACAUGCUGGGCACGCAACUCAGCCACCGAAAGGACACCCCAGCAUCGCAGCGCGAAGUGCUGCGGCUGCGCGGGAACAAGGGCAUCGACAUCAUCAACACAAAGUUCUCCAACUGCGAUAUCUGCGCCAUUCGCUUCGGCCGCCAAGGGUACGGACUGGUCGAGGACUGCGUGUUUGAGGAUUGUGGAGCAUACGCGAUCGUCGUGGAUUGCGCAGCGCACCCGCUCAUCACCGGCUGCCGCUUCCUGCGCUCUCGCGGGGCCAGCAUCCUGGUGAGCAACUUUGCGAAUCCGCUCAUCAUCGGCAACGAGGUGGCGAGCGGGAAGCGAGACGGCAUUCAGCUUGCCAGCAUGAGCCGCGGUUUGAUUAUCGGCAACAUCAUCGCCACUCACGUUGGAGCCGGCAUCCGCGUCGACAAAUACAGCCAGCCCCUCAUCUGCGCCAACGCCAUCUCGCAGAACCGCAAAGGUGGCAUCGCUGUCGCCGAAGGUAGCAAGCCGACGAUUCUGCUCAACAAACUUGCAGCGAACCUGUACGCACAGGUGAACUGCACCGAAGGCGCCGACGCCUUCAUCUCGCAUAACCGCAUCACCGCCUCCACAGACACCGGCAUCCGCAUCGACUCGUGCAGCCGCUGCACUGUCCUUUCCAACACCAUCAGCUUCAACGGCGACGGCAUCCUCGUCGAGCUGGACGCCGACCCUUACGUUGAGGACAACGACAUCACAGACAACACGUGCGCAGGAGUGCGCGCGUGCAACAACGCGCUAGGCGUGUUCGUGGGGAACCGCAUCCGCAAAAACGCGGGGCCGAACGUGCUCUUGACGGAGGGCGCCUCCUCGGUGUUUCGAGCUAAUCGCAUCGAGAAUAGCUCACAAGGAGGCGUGGUCGUGUGCAACGAGGGGCACGGCUUCUUCGAGCGCAACACCAUCGCAACGAACGCGACCGCUAAUGUGCUGGUGGCGGGUGCGUAUUCGGAGCCGGAGUUUCUGCGCAACGUCAUCUCUAGCUCGCGCUCUGGCUGCGGCAUCGUCUGCGGGCGCAGCGCCGGUGGCAGCUUCCUGCGCAACAGCAUUCACGGAAACUACCAGUGCGGUGUGUUCAUCCUGGAGGGGUCGAAUCCGACGUUUCGGGGCAACAAUAUCGCACGCGAGGCUGUCGGCGUACUCGUGUCGGACGGCGGCAAGGGAUUGUUCACACAGAAUAUCAUCGAGGACUGCUACGGCAGCGGCGUGCUGGCACAGCGGCAGGCGGACCCGGUCUUUUCACAGAACAGGGUGACGCGCUCUCAGAUGAGCGGGCUGCAUAUCGCCCCGGACAGCGCCGGCCUGUUUGAGCGGAAUGAAGUGACGCGGAACGACAUUGGGGUGCAGUUCGGCUCAUCGAUGGACUCCGCAGUCAUUCAGAUUCACUCUGCGUAUCUUGAUGACGCCGACACGAGCAACAAGGACUUGUCGGCGUCGUUGCAGCGCAAGGCAUCACGUACAGCACAGCACCGCUCUAGCGUGUUCGCGACCAACACGGAUGCGAGUGUGCUGCGCAGCCUUGCGAGCGCGUCGCUGCAGCGGAGUGCGAGCGUGGUUCGGCUGCCGACAAGCGUCGUUCGCGGCAACAUCAUCACCGCCAACCUACGAGGUGGUGUUUUGUUGGAUGCCUUUCCUAACGGCACGUUGGAGGAGAACGACAUCUUCCAGAACAACGCGUACGGCGUCCGUGGCGACGCCACGUACGGUGCAGCGCGUGCGCUGGCGAUUUUGACGACCACGCUUGGUGUCGCAGACCGUACCUCUGUUAUACGGCCGCGAUCCUUGCAGCAGCAGCAGCAGCAGUCCUCCUUUGAGCAGCUGCAAACAUUAAUGCUGAUUCGCGCAAACAAUAUCUACGGCCACGACGAGGCGAACAUCUUCCUUGAUCACUUCGACGGCGAUAAGCACGAGACGGCCAUCACCGAGAACACCAUCUACGGGGCCCCGUACGGCGUGUGCGUGGCGAACAACUCCACGGUUUACUCGAUGAGCAAGAACGAGGUUCACACAUGCAUGGACGGUUUCGCCUUUGCAAGCGGCGGCCACGGCUGCUACACGGCGAACCACAUCCGCGACUGCACCUACUCGGGUGUCUACAUCUCCGACAAGGCCUACCCUGACUUCACGGACGCCAACCGCAUCGAGAAAUGCGGCUUCAGCGGCGUCCUGGUGGACGUGAACGGCCAAGGCGUGUUUCUCAACAACACCAUCUGUCACUGUGCCACGGGCGUCGUCGUAUUCUGCGGCCCCACCACGCCGUUUCACGUGUCCUAUGAGGAGGUCAUUCAUGCGCGCAUCCUCUCCUCCACGCCGACGUUCACGGCGAACACGAUCGAAGAAAAUGAACUUCAUGGCGUGCUGCUGAUCAGCGUCAUUUCGGGAUGUCCGCUGCGCUCGCCUCUACUUCUGUCCUGCAGCGACGCUGGCGGGAAGUCUGCCGAAGUUCCUCCGGCAGACAGCUCAACUGACGAGCCGCUGCACGACGAGCCCGCACCCUACUCCUGUGCGGUCGGCGGGACCGUGACGGCGCGAGGCAAUCGACUCUGCGCCACCUUCGAGAAAAAUAUUAUUCGACGCAAUCGCAUGAUGGGCGUUUACCAUGACCGCUUUGAGCACUGGGACCUCUCGGCGCUCGAGAAGACGCACGCGGAGACGAAGCCGUCCGCCGGCAACCCAGUGAAGAACGCGCAUGGCGGGUACGAGAUUCUGCUUGGCACGUCGCAAAUCCUCGACAACGACGAGCACCAACGGCAGCGUCAGCUGAAGCAGGUGAGUCUUAUCGAGAACAUCAUCACAGAGUGCAGCGUCGGCGUCGGUGCCGGGUACGGGUGCCAUCCGUAUCUUCAGCGCAACAAGAUCCAUCACAACACUUUCUUCGGCCUCCUCCUGCGCUUCGGCUCAGCUGUCUCGGCUUACGCGAAUGACAUCUGCGACAACGGCCUGGCUGGCGUGUACGCGGCGAUCGGGGCGAAGGGGUACAUUGCGAAAGGUAUCAUCGAGUCAAACAACGGCUGGUGUCGGCCGGAGGCGAGUCCGCACACGCCGCGCAGCUUCGACGACUGCACCUUUUCAAAGUCGUUUUUCACGCAGGCGAUGGUGGGCACUGUGGAGGAGAAGGUGCGCGCCACCGCCGUCAGGGCAGGUAGGACACUUCGCGCGUGCUGCCGCGCGUACGAGCAGAUGACUCGCCUUGCCGAGGUCCACGUCUUCACCAUGACGGACGCCCUCCGCUACCUCGCCGAGCUGGUCGCAGCCUCUUCGGGUGGCUUGACGCUCGCCAGCGGCUGUGCGCCGUCGUCGCUCUUUGAAGUGGUCGAAGAUGCCUCGUCUAGCGCGAAGGGCGCGGCAGCGUCAGGUAGGCGGUGGCUCGGUGGUGUGGCGUUGGCCGAUUACGCGGACGUAUCCACGGCCGACGGCGGCAUCGGGGUUUGGGUGCAGGCGGGAAGUCGGGUGACGAUUCAGGGCAACAGAAUCGGCAAGCACCAGAACAGCGGUGUGUUGAUCACAAAAGGCGUACUGCAGCACCAUUCGGUCCUGCACAAAUCGUUCAACAUGGAGGAAGGCAGUAAAGGGAACAAGAAACUCGAGAUGGUGGCCUCCCUACCUGGCCGUGCGAAGUCGAUGAAGACGACGGCGAGCAGCGCGACGGUGGACAUCUUUGCCGGGCAACGUGAAGCACCGCCUCUUGCCUGCGCGGAGCCCGGUGCCCUCUUCACGACACAGAUGCUCUACGCAACGGGAAUUUUGGCGGCCGUGCAGGUGGCUGCAUCCACUACCUUCGAGAGCCUUGACGCCGACUUUGCGUCCUUCUUGCACCACAGCCUCUCCCUCUCCUCGUUGAAUGGGCUCGAGGCCGAGGAGAAGAGGCAGCGCGUGGACUCUCUCCACCACGUCCACAUCGCAGACAACGUCAUUAGCAGCAACAGGGACGGGCUGCACGUCGAGGUGUUUCACCGCCUACAGGCGUGUGCCACGCCCAGCGCGGCCACGGCUGCUGCGGCUUCAAUCAGCCGCAUCAAGCCGCACUCCGGUGGUGGGGCAAACAGCACGAUUGAUCUGAUGCCGCACGCUCCCACAGAAGCACACGCGCUACCGCGGUUUCAGCGCGCACGUACGCCAAAGUUCUCCGCGGCACCGACGGCCUUUGCGAACGACACAGCUUCGGAGGCGGCGGCGACGAGUGCCCUCCGCGCCUCGUCGCACGACAUUGACGUGAUGGAGUGCGCCUACAGUACCUCCGACUUCACGAUCGUGGUGGAGGGGAACACCGUGACACAGAAUCGUCGCUACGGCGUGUACGCGGUGCACGUGGCGAACGUGCACUGCGAGCGCUGGCUCUCGGGGCGUAGCGUGCUGAACGAGACCAUCGCAUCUCAGUACGACAGCAUUCGCUCCAAGCUGGUCCUGGGGCAGGAGACGACACGAGUGAGUGUGACGCUGCCGUUUGAGUUGCAUGCGCUCCAGCAAAAGGUAGGCCACGCCCUGUUCCGGAAGAACGACCUCUUCCGCAACCAGCACAUGCAAGUCUGCGUGACGUCACGGUACGUUGCCCUGACGCAAGACGGCGACCAAACGCUGCUGCAGCUGGACACGACGACCCCCCUGUCGGGGUCCAACUACGCCUCGCAGGUGCUCGUCGGGGUCCCCGUGAUGGCGAGUCUACUCCAGUUGCCGCCGCCUGGGUUGCUGCUAUGGGAUGAGAACAAGGUACGCGACGCGAAGAGCGGGGUGCUGCUUUGCGGCUACCUCGGACCGCACAGCGUCCGCUUUCAACGCAACACCUUCGCGAACAUCGCCAGCGACGCCCUCUGUGUGCAGGGACAUCUAGCGUGUGCGACAGUGGGGAAGGGGAACGUCUUUGAGCGCAAUGGUGUCGGGCUCCGCCUGGCGCAGCAGCAACGGAUUCGCCUCGUGACGUCUCCGGCAACGGUGCUGAGCCACCUGCGAACGCGCGUCUUUCAUAACACCUUCAGAGAAGCCAAUGACUCGUCGAUUUUGCUGGAGUGCGUCGGUGAGGAGGCGCCGCUGGUGUACCAAAACGAGUUCAGUCGGCACACGGCGGGCACGGCGGCGCUGUACUUGCGAAGUGAAAGGGCCGGCGGAGCGGCGGUGGUGCAGGGCAACGUCUUUUCGGAGAACUACAUCCCCGUCUUUCUGGUUGGUGGAAGCGAGUCUGGGGUAGAGGGCCCGCUCCACGCCUCCCCCAUCACCCUCGUCGAGAAUCGGUUCACGUGCAACUACGUCGGCGCCAUCGCCUGCAGCGGCGCUGCCCCGACACUCGAGCGAAACAUCUUCGAAAAAAACGCCCGGGCAGGCCUGGAGGUGGUGGGGAGCGGCACCCGACCGCAGCUCCGCCACUGCGUUUUCCGCGAGCACAGGCGGGCCGGCGACGGAGGGGAUUUGACGAUGCCCUGCCCAAAUCAAGGGACGCUCCAGCUCGAGUGCCGCAACUUCUCCUUGAAGCUGCUGCCCGAGAACGCUCGCGUGCUCACUGCCACGAGUCAGGCACGGCUACCGGCUGGCUUGCUCAUCGGUCCAUUGACCGAGCCGGUGGUGGACGCGUGCGGUUUCAUCAAUAAUGACAUCGGCGUGGACGCCGUGCGGGAUGCUGCGAGUCCGGCCAUUGCGUUGGCAGGACCGAAAGCGCACUUCAAAGGAUGCCUAUUCACGCAGCACCAGGUCUGCGGUGUGCUGGUGCGCGGUUUCCACGGUGCAGCCGACGGCAGCGGAGGCGGAGGCAGGGGUGUGGACGAGAGAGGCGGUGGCGCCGCCAAAGGGACUACCGAAGGCCGAAAGCCGACCGACGGUGCCGUCGAUGUCAGCAGUGCACUCAGCAUGGCGGGCACGACAGUUUUUGAGCGGUGCGUGUUCACGAAUAACGCCACGGCCAACGGCGGCGGCGACGUGGUGGCGAUGGAGGACGGCUGCGCAACGUUUCGCGAGAACGUCUUCUGCGGAGCCGUCGUGGGAAAGACGGGUGGUGUAGCCUGCUUCACGCAGAACAGCUUCAUCGCCUUGUCAGAUGGCGAUGCCGCUACCCUUAGGGGGGCGGCGCACGACUCGUCGCCCUGCUCAGGCGCUGCCAACGGCGCCGCUGCUGCGGUCGUCAUUCAGGAGGGUGGUCGCAUUGUAGCCGGCCAAAAUACAAUCGUGCAUCGCAAAGUCGGUGUGCAGUGCCUGCCUGGCGCGGAGGGCGUUGUGACAGACAACCGCAUUGUGCAAUGCGUGACGGGAUUGGUGCUCGCGCCCUUCAACCGCACAGACGUAAACAAGAACCGGGUGCUCGACAGCGUGGAUUGUGGCGCCGUCGCCUACGGCGGUCGAAUGGAAGACAAUAAGAUCAUCAAGGCCCCUACGGGGAUCCUGGUGCAGCACUCCUCCGUCUACAAGGGCAUCAAUGCAGUCCCAUCGCACAAGCGCGACGCGCUGGGGUUCCUCUGCAUUGGUAACAGAAUCGUCGACUGCGCCAAGAAUGGCCUCCUCAUCACCACCGCCGGCGUCUUCGACGGCAACAGCGUGUCGCGCUGCAAGAGCGGCAUCCACAUCGCCUCGCCUCUCAACGGUGGGCCCGCCGGCUCGUGCCCGGUGAUCAAAAACUGCAGUGUCUAUGACAACGGCGUGGGGGUCUGCAUGGAACACGAGUCUGAGUCGGUGGUGCGGGACAACGACAUCUUUGAUAAUGAGACGGUGGGCUUGCUCGUCGCCGCGACGGCGACAGGGACUCUGCAGGACAACCACAUCUCCUCCCCCGUCGACCAGGGCGCGGUGGAGAUGGCGGUGGAGUCGCGGUUGAAGUCGUUCGGCAACGUCAUCCGAAACCAGUUCUCGCCGGCCUUCCAGCGCGGCACACGAGCGAGCCGCGCAAAGGACUACCAACUUGAGCAGGCAGACCUCGAUCGGGAGCUGCGAGACCUGGACGGCACUGUCGAGCAGGCGCAUCACAGCAUGGAGGCUGUCUCAAGCGGCUUGUGGUCGCUUCAGCAGGAACUCAUCAGCAUGCACUCGAGAUCCAUCGCGAACUUCGCGGCAUUGAUGGCGGGGCCGGCAGGAAGCGCACUGCGCGUUGCCAGCGCGCGGGCUGGCACGAUGACGGCUGCCGCUUUCUCCGACAAGAAAGAUGAUCGCCCCACUCUGGGUAAGCAGUCGAUCAGCAAUGCUAAGAGCACUUUAGAGAGCGGGAGCAGCGUCACCGGUGCCGCGGCAUCGCGCAAGCGCUCCUUAGGCUCGGUUGGGCGAUGGACCACUGGUGCCGGCACCAGCCGCGUCCCUGCCGUUUCGAUGGGUAUACGCAAGCAGUCUAAGGCGGGAUUGUCUACGAAGGCCGACCCCGGUGGAAAGGCCACGCGUAGCGCCGCUUCGGCGGACCCAAUGAAGGUUCUCGUCCACGUUUUCACUAGCGCCGCGACGAGUUCAGGCGCGGACGCGGUUGGUCAGGCAAUCACUGGCGUACUUGCCAAGGCGCCUCUCUCAAAGUACAACUUUAUUUCCACCGUCUCCACCUCGACGUCACAGCUGCUGCGACUGCUCGGUGGCCCCCACCCCAUGCAGCCGUUUCUCUGCGUGGUCGUCGUCGACGCAAACUUUGGCCACUUUAGCCCGUCAGACCACGACGCGCUGCAGCAGCUGCACAAGAGCGCUUGCGUUGACCGUCUCACCACGCACCGGGGAGCGACCGAGGCUGCCGGCAGAGACUCUCAGGAGGUGUCGAGCCUCUUUUACACUGUUCUACCCGGCAGUUUCUGCAAGAAGGACGAGGCAAGCCCGAGUGGGGACGGUGUCAUGAGCAUGGAGGCUUAUGCGGCAGCCCAUCAUCCGUUCACCUACACCGCCUCCGUAGAAGAGGUGCUUGACGUCCUACAUGACCGAAUCAGCCAGGACAUGAAUGCGUCCACCGCAUCAGCAGCAAACUGCCUUUCGCGAAGCAUCACCCUGCAGGACGUCCAAGUCUCUGUCACGGAAAGCACGGUGGGCAACCCCCCGAUCGAUGACGACGACAGUCGUAGCCGCAGUGCGUCUGUAAGUGGCGGGUGCUCUGCCCUCACGUGUGAGAGCCGCAGCGGGUCCACUUUCCUCACAGUCGAGCACGUGAGCUCCCUUUUCUCGAAGCUUACACCCGAGGCUCUCGGCUUAGAACCCUCGAAGGACGCGCGAAACAUGAAGAGGCAGAAGUCUUCGGUGGUACUCAGUGUCCACGAGGAGGGCGACAUCAGUGAACUCGAUCAUACGAGACGAAGCGGAGGGGGAUCAGUGCACCACCGAAGAGGAUCCACUGCCUCCAAGUCCGCUGGCCAAGGCGCGCCGGCUGGCCGUCGCCGAUCCUCCGUCGUCAGUUCGAGGAGCGGGCGCCGCACCUCAGUGGCUUCAAAAAAGAGCUGAACACGACAUGGUGGCGCUGUCCCCGCCGGGCGGAUCAAAGACGAAACGCAUGUUUGGUUGGGCUGUUUCCUACCUCGUCUCCCGCUCUUCCUGCGAGUGUUGGUGCGGAUAGAUUCAUGAACGCAACCGUGGCGCCGACGGCCGCCCGUGCACUCUUUGUUGUCCCCCCUCCCAUUAUGUCGCGUAUGUGUCUGCCCUCUGCCGUUUACACAAUUCCUGCUGUCCGCGCAUGCGUGUAUGUGUGGCUGUGUUUUGUAGGCUGUAAUGAGAGCCUCUCGUCACCCCGCCCCUGAGUUGCCCAUCAUCGGCGCUGAGUCAAAUUUGUCUGAACGUCCCUCCUCCCCUAACCUGCCGCACUCAUACUUUUCCUCGGUGCCCAAUCCUCGUUGUUGCGAGUGAUAAGGCAGAGGGAGAGGGGCUCGGCGCCGGGGAGAGGGUGCGAUGCACGCACUGACUGCCCAUCUCUCCAAGAACAGAAAGAAUAACAGCAUCGAAAAGAGUCUCUCUUCUCAUGAUCACGGACGUAGUCGGUGCUGGUGCGCGCCUCGGUGCGGCUGCAGCUGUACGUGGUCGCGAAGCGCGCAAAGCAGCAGCGACUGCGCGCUUUUGGCCGCAUGCUGCAGCCUUCAAGGUAACCACGGCAAGUCUGUGGCAUCCUCUUCCCCGCACCCACCUUGGCGAGCUCCUUUGGUAUCGGUCGCAAAUGUCGUGCUGUCUGUCGGAAAGGAGCUCCGUCAGCGAAGGGCGUCUUAUACCCGGCAGCAUUCCAGGUUUGAUCAUCUUACGCAUCUCCGCCUUCGCUGGCUGGUGCCUCCUCUCUCGUUUUCGCGCCACCGGCAACAG
rnacentral:misc_RNA from 1 species